rnacentral:lncRNA from 1 species
UCUUUAGGCUUCUCCGCCCCCUAGUGGCCACUGUGCGUCACUGCGUGCGCUGAGCACCUGGGAAACAGUCUCCCCUUCGCAACCGACGUAUAAGGAGAGGCUGAUAAAUAUGGAGCCAAGGGCUGAGUACAGACGCGGGUUUCCCUGCAAGACCGUCAUAACAGAGUUAGAAACUUGCAUGAAAAGGAGAAAGAAACUGGCUCAGUCCUGUAUUUUCUGCUAAAUACAGUGAGAUCUCAGAAGUUCCACGUCAGUUGUCUGUUAGGAGAACCUGCCUUGAUUUAACUCAACUGUGAUACCAUCUCCUCUGGGAAGUCUCAUCUCUGAGCUUUUAUUUAAUAUCGUAACUAUACAUGAGGGAAGGAAGAGAUAUAAAGACCAAGGCAACAUCUCAUGCAGAUUUUCUGGUUGGUCUUCACAUGGUUGCUCACAGGCUAUCGUGUGGCCCUGGAGUGUGGGGCCAUGGAGUCCUCUGCUGGAUCCUUGGCAUUUGACAGACAGAAAGGGAAAGAGAAUGAGAAAGAGAGGAGAACCCAUGGGAGGUUUUCCUGGAUCAAGCUUCAAAGUUGUGAACUGGCUAGUUACAAGAAUUCUCACAUUUCAUUUUCCAGAUCUCAGCCACAUGACCGUAUCUGAUUGUAAGGGAGGCUAGGAAAUGUAGUUUAGAGUGAAUGUUUGUGUCCCCUCAAAACUCAUAUGUUGAAACCUAGUCCCCAGUGUGAUGUUAUUUGGAGGUGGGGACUUAGAGGUGAGAAGUCCCAUGAAUGGGAUCAGUGUCCUUAUAAGUGAGACCCCAGAGAGCUCCCUGGCCCCCUCCAGCGUGUGAGGACACAGCCAUAUCAAAUCUGCCAGCGCCUUGAUCUUGGACUUCCCAGCCUCCAGAAUGGUGAGAAAUAAAUGUCUGUUGUUUAAGC